CUCGUGUCGUGAGAUGUUGGGUUAAGUCCCGGCAACGAGCGCAACCCUCGUCCUAUGUUGCCAGCGGGUCAUGCCGGGACUCAUGGGAGACUGCCGGGGUCGAACUCGGAGGAAGGUGGGAUGACGUCAAAUCAUCAUGCCCCUUAUGUCUUGGGCUUCACGCAUGCUACAAUGGCCGGUACAAAGGGCUGCGAUACCGCGAGGUGGAGACGAAUCCCAGAAAGCCGGUCUCAGUUCGGAUUGGGGUCUGCAACUCGACCCCAUGAAGUCGGAGUCGCUAGUAAUCGCAGAUCAGCAACGCUGCGGUGAAUACGUUCCCGGGCCUU
rnacentral:rRNA from 1 species